UACGAAGGGGGCUAGCGUUGCUCGGAAUGACUGGGCGUAAAGGGCGCGUAGGCGGUUCGUACAGUCAGACGUGAAAUCCCUCGGCUUAACCGGGGAACUGCGUCUGAUACUGGAUGGCUUGAGGUUGGGAGAGGGAUGCGGAAUUCCAGGUGUAGCGGUGAAAUGCGUAGAUAUCUGGAGGAACACCGGUGGCGAAGGCGGCAUCCUGGACCAAUUCUGACGCUGAGGAGCGAAAGCCAGGGUAGCGAACGGG
rnacentral:rRNA from 1 species